rnacentral:rRNA from 1 species
GACGAACGCUGGCGGCGUGCUUAACACAUGCAAGUCGAACGGAAAGGCCCUGCUUUUGUGGGGUGCUCGAGUGGCGAACGGGUGAGUAACACGUGAGUAACCUGCCCUUGACUUUGGGAUAACUUCAGGAAACUGGGGCUAAUACCGGAUAGGAGCUCCUGCUGCAUGGUGGGGGUUGGAAAGUUUCGGCGGUUGGGGAUGGACUCGCGGCUUAUCAGCUUGUUGGUGGGGUAGUGGCUUACCAAGGCUUUGACGGGUAGCCGGCCUGAGAGGGUGACCGGCCACAUGGGGACUGCGAUACGGCCCAGACUCCUACGGGAGGCAGCAGUGGGGAAUAUUGCGCAAUGGGCGGAAGCCUGAUGCAGCAACGCCGCGUGCGGGAUGACGGCCUUCGGGUUGUAAACCGCUUUCGCCUGUGACGAAGCGUGAGUGACGGUAAUGGGUAAAGAAGCACCGGCUAACUACGUG